UGCUUGGAAAGGUAGGCUACUGGCUGG
rnacentral:piRNA from 1 species